GACGAACGCUGGCGGCGUGCUUAACACAUGCAAGUCGAACGGAAAGGCCCUGCAUUUGUGGGGUGCUCGAGUGGCGAACGGGUGAGUAACACGUGAGUAACCUGCCCUUGACUUUGGGAUAACUUCAGGAAACUGGGGCUAAUACCGGAUAGGAGCUCCUGCUGCAUGGUGGGGGUUGGAAAGUUUCGGCGGUUGGGGAUAGACUCGCGGCUUAUCAGCUUGUUGGUGGGGUAGUGGCUUACCAAGGCUUUGACGGGUAGCCGGCCUGAGAGGGUGACCGGCGACAUUGGGACUGAGAUACGGCCCAGACUCCUACGGGAGGCAGCAGUGGGGAAUAUUGCACAAUGGGCGGAAGCCUGAUGCAGCAACGCCGCGUGCGGGAUGACGGCCUUCGGGUUGUAAACCGCUUUCGCCUGUGACGAAGCGUGAGUGACGGUAAUGGGUAAAGAAGCACCGGCUAACUACGUG
rnacentral:rRNA from 1 species